rnacentral:tRNA from 1 species
GGAGAGGUGGCCGAGAGGCUGAAGGCAGCUGCCUGCUAAGCAGUUGUGGGGGUAACUCCACCCCGGGUUCGAAUCCCGGCCUCUCCGCCA